rnacentral:rRNA from 1 species
UACGAAGGGGGCUAGCGUUGUUCGGAAUUACUGGGCGUAAAGCGUUUGUAGGCGGUUAUACAAGUCAGUGGUGAAAGCCCAGGGCUUAACCCUGGAAUUGCCAUUGAAACUGUAUAGCUAGAGAAUGUUAGAGGAAAGUGGAAUUCCUAGUGUAGGAGUUAAAUCCGUAGAGAUUAGGAGGAAUAUCGAUGGCGAAGGCAGCUUUCUGGGACAUUUCUGACGCUGAGAAACGAAAGCGUGGGUAGCAAACAGG